rnacentral:rRNA from 1 species
UAUUGGUCAAUGGGCGCGAGCCUGAACCAGCCAAGUCGCGUGAGGGAUGACGGCCCUACGGGUUGUAAACCUCUUUUGUCGGGGAGCAAAUUCCGCCACGUGUGGCGGAGUCGAGAGUACCCGACGAAAAAGAAUAGGCUAACUCCGUGCCAGCAGCGGCGGUAAUACGGAGGAUGCGAGCGUUAUCCGGAUUUAUUGGGUUUAAAGGGUGCGUAGGCGGACUGUCAAGUCAGCGGUAAAAUACGGGGGCUCAACCUCCGCCCGCCGUUGAAACUGACGGUCUUGAGUGGGCGAGAAGUAUGCGGAAUGCGCGGUGUAGCGGCGAAAUGCAUAGAUAUCGCGCAGAACUCCGAUUGCGAAGGCAGCAUGCCGGCUCCACACUGACGCUGAGGCACGAAAGCGUGGGUAUCG